rnacentral:rRNA from 1 species
AUCCACCUGAGUUGAGUAUGACUACCCGCUGAACUUAAGCAUAUCAUUUAGCGGAGGA